rnacentral:rRNA from 1 species
UAAUACGAAGGGGGCUAGCGUUGCUCGGAAUCACUGGGCGUAAAGGGCGCGUAGGCGGACUUUUAAGUCGGAGGUGAAAGCCCAGGGCUCAACCCUGGAAUUGCCUUCGAUACUGGGAGUCUUGAGUUCGGAAGAGGUUGGUGGAACUGCGAGUGUAGAGGUGAAAUUCGUAGAUAUUCGCAAGAACACCGGUGGCGAAGGCGGCCAACUGGUCCGAAACUGACGCUGAGGCGCGAAAGCGUGGGGAGCAAACAGG